AGGAAAGNCAGGGGAUCGCAAGACCUUGCGCUUUUGGAGCGGCCGAUGUCUGAUUAGCUAGUUGGUGAGGUAAAGGCUUACCAAGGCUUCGAUCAGUAGCUGGUCUGAGAGGACGACCAGCCACACUGGGACUGAGACACGGCCCAGACUCCUACGGGAGGCAGCAGUGGGGAAUUUUGGACAAUGGGGGAAACCCUGAUCCAGCCAUGCCGCGUGAGUGAAGAAGGCCUUCGGGUUGUAAAGCUCUUUCAGCCGGAACGAAAAGGUUACGGUUAAUACCCGUGACUAAUGACGGUACCGGAAGAAGAAGCACCGGCUAACUACGUGCCAGCAGCCGCGGUAAUACGUAGGGUGCGAGCGUUAAUCGGAAUUACUGGGCGUAAAGCGUGCGCAGGCGGUUUUGUAAGUCAGAUGUGAAAUGCCCCGGGCUCAAAACUGGGAACUGCGUUUGAAACUACAAAGCU
rnacentral:rRNA from 1 species